CACGGAGUUAGCCGAUCCUUAUUCUUACGAUACCGUCAAGCUCCUUCACGAAGGAGUGUUUCUUCUCGUAUAAAGCAGUUUACAAUCCAUAGGACCGUCAUCCUGCACGCGGCAUGGCUGGAUCAGGCUUGCGCCCAUUGUCCAAUAUUCCUCACUGCUGCCUCCCGUAGGAGUCUGGUCCGUGUCUCAGUACCAGUGUGGGGGAUCUCCCUCUCAGGACCCCUACCCAUCGUUGCCUUGGUAAGCCGUUACCUUACCAACAAGCUAAUGGGACGCAUGCUCAUCUUUCACCGUUGUGACUUUAAUAUAAUCCUGAUGCCAGGUCUAUAUACUAUGAGGUAUUAAUCCAAAUUUCUCUGGGCUAUCCCUCUGUGAAAGGUAGAUUGCAUACGCGUUACGCACCCGUGCGCCGGUCUCUAGUUCCGAAGAACUAUACCCCUCGACUUGCAUGUGUUAAGCCUGCCGCUAGCGUUCAUCCUGAGCCAGGAUA
rnacentral:rRNA from 1 species